CCUACGGGAGGCAGCAGUGGGGAAUUUUCCGCAAUGGGCGAAAGCCUGACGGAGUGACGCCGCGUGGGGGAUGAAGGCCUUCGGGUUGUAAACCCCUGUCAGAGGGAAAGAAGGGUGUCGGUGUUAAUAGCGCCGGCAUCUGACGGUACCUUCAGAGGAAGCCCCGGCCAACUCUGUGCCAGCAGCCGCGGUAAGACAGAGGGGGCAAGCGUUGCUCGGAAUCACUGGGCGUAAAGAGCGCGUAGGCGGGAUGGCAAGUCGGUCGUGAAAUCCCUCGGCUCAACCGAGGAGCGUCGGCCGAUACUGCUGUUCUUGAGGGAUGCAGAGGAGACUGGAAUUCCCGGUGUAGCGGUGAAAUGUGUAGAGAUCGGGAGGAACACCGGUGGCGAAGGCGGGUCUCUGGGCAUCUCCUGACGCUGAGGCGCGAAAGCGUGGGGAGCAAACGGGAUUAGAUACCCCGGUAGUCCACGCGGUAAACGAUGACGACUAGGUGUGGGGAGGUUCAGUCCUUUCCGUGCCGCAGCUAACGCAUUAAGUCGUCCGCCUGGGGAGUACGGCCGCAAGGUUGAAACUCAAAGGAAUUGACGG
rnacentral:rRNA from 1 species